rnacentral:rRNA from 1 species
UUAUCCCUACGGGGGGCAGCAGUGGGGAAUAUUGCACAAUGGGGGGAACCCUGAUGCAGCGACGCCGCGUGAGUGAAGAAGUAUUUCGGUAUGUAAAGCUCUAUCAGCAGGGAAGAAGAUGACGGUACCUGACUAAGAAGCCCCGGCUAACUACGUGCCAGCAGCCGCGGUAAUACGUAGGGAGCAAGCGUUAUCCGGAUUUAUUGGGUGUAAAGGGUGCGUAGACGGGAAAACAAGUUGGUUGUGAAAUCCCUCGGCUUAACUGAGGAACUGCAACCAAAACUAUUUUUCUUGAGUGCUGGAGA